rnacentral:rRNA from 1 species
AUUGAACGCUGGCGGCAGGCUUAACACAUGCAAGUCGAGCGGAGUGAUGGUGCUUGCACUAUCACUUAGCGGCGGACGGGUGAGUAAUGCUUAGGAAUCUGCCUAUUAGUGGGGGACAACAUCUCGAAAGGGAUGCUAAUACCGCAUACGUCCUACGGGAGAAAGCAGGGGAUCACUUGUGACCUUGCGCUAAUAGAUGAGCCUAAGUCGGAUUAGCUAGUUGGUGGGGUAAAGGCCUACCAAGGCGACGAUCUGUAGCGGGUCUGAGAGGAUGAUCCGCCACACUGGGACUGAGACACGGCCCAGACUCCUACGGGAGGCAGCAGUGGGGAAUAUUGGACAAUGGGGGGAACCCUGAUCCAGCCAUGCCGCGUGUGUGAAGAAGGCCUUAUGGUUGUAAAGCACUUUAAGCGAGGAGGAGGCUUACCUAGUUAAUACCUGGGAUAAGUGGACGUUACUCGCAGAAUAAGCACCGGCUAACUCUGUGCCAGCAGCCGCGGUAAAAC